UUUAUAGUUUAUCUAAUAUUUGUUGAUAAAAAAGGAAAAAAAACAAAAGACUUCUCAAGCAUCCGUCGGAAUUCGAACAAUCAUUUAGAACCUUCUUAACUGCGAAACUAUUGUAUGUCUAAUCGAAACUUUCGAAACUUAACGACCGGAAAAUCGAUAAAAAAAGGAUCAAUUUUCGCCAUCAUUAUUUCACGAUUUUGGUGAAAUCUCGGUUUCUUCGUAUGACAGAGAGACUUUUCUGAAAUUAAAUUUUGCCGAUUCCGAAUAUUAUAAAUCGAUCGAUAAUGGAGCGAAGAGCCGACGGCGCGACGGGACCAAUAAUUAACGUGCACGACAAACAGUAUUAUCGUUGCCUGAUAUUAUUCCCAUUAUCUUAUAUGUACGUCGGCUAUGUGCUUAAUGAUUAAUAAAAUAUUAUCUGCGCUCUCUCGGGGGAUAUCUUUCUUUCUGACGACGGAUAGUUUUGUGCCAGACAUCGCAAGGAGCACCGAUGCCGAUCUGCAUCAUCCUCAAAUGACAAUGAGAUAUUAAUUUGGAUUGUGCUUUCAUGAAGAUUCACGUGCCAUAAAAAAUUAUUUUGUUCUUAUAAAUGGUGUCUACGUGUGUGGAUGUCUCAUAGUGAAUAUUUUGGAAUCGAUUUUAUCAUGUAACCGAUGAUAAACUCUUGGAGAAGAUUUUUGGCAUACUUGUCAAAUUCGAGAUGUAAAAACGAAGUUGGAGGUGGUGUCAGGAAAUAUGUGCGCCAAAGUAUAAUAAAGGAUGACAAGUGUGUCUUAAUUAAAUUGUGAGAGUGUGAGUUUUCAAAAUUUUAUAAAAUUUAUAAAGAAGAAAUGUGCGUCACAUGAUUACGUCUCGUCUGAGAGACGUAUUUAUUCAUUGAAAUCUUCCGUCGUAAGCACAUCAUUGGAUUUACUUGAAUUAUCGAUUUAAUAUUUGCCCUGUCGAUGUUGUAACCGAAUAAUCUGGACAUCGUCGUUUUUGGGGAUAUGUCUCGUUCUUAAGUGGCAGAUGCAGUAUUAUAAAAUGAAUGAGACCUCAUCUUCAUCUAUUUCAUCUUUAUCUCGAAGAGAUACAUGUGACAGAAGAUCGCUAUAUAAAAUAUCUAGUUAUUUUCAAUCUGCUAUUUAAUGCGGUUUUUCAAGGCCUAUUAUUUACCUUCGCUUCUAUACUUAUUUCUAAAUAAUACCAAUCAUAUUACAAGGGGAAAAAAUCAAUUCAACGACAAUUAGCGUUUGUAUAUAUAAUAUUUGCUACCGAAGAGCUAAACGCCGGUCUCUGUCAGCACACAAACUCGCGCGAAAAAAAUAAUUACAAGACUGUUUCUGACUUACAAGAGUCAACGGAGCAGGAAGAUGAGAGAAGCUUUGACCGUCGAGGAAGAUUUGACCGUAUUCUUGAUUUGAUCGAAGGCUCGUGAUGUGACAGGCUCGUUUCUUCGUCGACUUAUUCCGGUCGAAUCUGCGAGCGAGACGCGCACUUGACGCAGCUUGACACAGGUGCGUUUCCUCUAUACGAGGAGUGCGAGAAGAGUCUCGAGGCCUGGUUCUUGGAGAACGUCGUCGACGUCGACGUCCUCGUCGUCGUCGUCGUCGUCGUCGUCUUCGUCGUCGUCGUCGAUGAUCUGCUGCCGUCUGGUAGCGCGAGAUCGAAGCUUCGAUUUGAUCCGAGAGACCGUCAAAUAUUGACUGACAACGAUUAGGAGUCGACUGCCAUGCUCGACCUUCUUCUGCCAUAUUGUAUCGAUCUUCUCCCGCUCCGUCUCGGCCCCUCUCUUCAGUCAUUUCCUAAUCUGGUAUACUCAGCCCGGAUUAUCUCUUAUCACCUGCCAGCGAAGAGGGAGAAGUGCGAAGCUUUGGGGGCGGAGGACUGUUGUCAUGGUUGCAGAGCAUACACCAAGUUACGCCAUUGUUACGGGAGGGAGCAUAUGUGACUCGCGCAGAGAUUAGCCGCGACAUUGUAUUAUCGCCAAAAAUACACAAGGAUGAACCUUCCUCCGGUCGUUCACUGACUCUUCGCCUCGUCAGCUAGGUAAUGUUUUUGUGGAUAUAACAGCGCACAUCCCGUGUUAGCCAUAUGACUCGGAAAAUCCAACCUGAUAAUUCUACAAGUGUUAUUGCCUGGCUUUUAAACAACGCGAUUGAUGCAAUUUUGAAGAAACGACACGCAUCAUAUUACGCGAUUGUGCAUAAUGCACAACGCAUCAGUUCCAUUUUUACUUCUUCGUAAAACGUCACUUUGCUUCUCACAUUAUUUAACUUUAUAAUUAACAUUGUAAUUAUAUAAUUAAUAUUACAUUUAUUAUGUUUUUUAAUAUUUUGCAGUGAAGAUCUCAGUUAUUUCUAAGUUCUUAAAUUUUUUUUUUCAAAUCCAAAUUUAUAUCUAAAUUUAAGCCAUAAUAUUAAGUACAAUAUAGUUACGUAUAAAUUGAAGACAUCGAUUAGCUUCGGUUUUUAAAUAUCCCUUUUUAUUUAAAAAUAAUUGAUGUUUUGAUAUACAACAUUUUAAAAAUAUAUUACAUAAAAUAUAUUGACGCAUUUGCGUCUGUAAAACGGUAUGCGUUACUAGAAGGAAAAAAACAUUAUAUAAUCGUUCACAUUUAGUCUUAUAAUAUGCCGUCGGGAAAGGGAGAAAUAUAUGUUCAUUCGUAUAAUAUAAUUAUCUCUAUAUACUUAUUGUCUAAUUGUGCAUUACAUUAUUCUUAUUGUUUUUAAACAUUUUAACGCGAUACUGCCUUAUAUAUUGUAUAACAAAGGCACUUAUAUAAAGGCUGAUAUAUGUAUCAGCUGCAAGAUCCUUAUAUUACGCUCGAAUGAUGUAUAAGUAUAUUUAUGUCUAAUCUUACACAAAAAUUCCCGUUUAUAUGUAGAUAUAUGUAUUAUGUAUAUAUACAGAUACAAUAUUUUCUGCAAUUGUUUGGCAUAUUGUUUUACAUCAUGUCGACGCGCAAGACUCGUUAAUAAAGUCUUUUUUGGUUAAAAAAAAUUGAAAACGAAAAGAUUGAAUAAAAAAGUAAUAGAGAAUAAACAAUUUAUGCAAAUGAAAAGUCUGCGUGUCUCUUUCCGAAAAAAAAUAAUAUUAACAUCUUAAAAAUUUUUAAAAAGAAUAUUUACAAUAACACUAUUUUCUCGCGCUUUCUUAUACACACAUGAUUAUUAAAGAUAUACAUAUAACUUGCGAUUUCGCGUAUCACAAUGCGCGUAAAUAAGAAAGUCUAAUGAGAUGCUUAUUUUGCUAGUUAAAAAGAAAAAAAAUCGACAUUGUGCAAAAGACAAUUACACAAAUUGAACAACAAACUUUAAUAUUAGAUUAUAUAUGGAUUGUAAAAUUCAGUAAUAUGUAAAAUGAUAAUAUACAUGU